UCUGCAUCGACUUCCGGUUCAAGGCAUCCGCGACGCGCCGUUUCGCCAGCGACUUUGUUGGAGCUGAGACACAUUUUUUUCGUUCGAUCUCGUUACAUAUCUUAUCGCUAGCGCAAUCAUGGUUGGUUGUGCAGCUGUCGGUUGCUCAAGUUCGAGUACGAAAGGGAAAAAGAUGUUCAGGUUCCCCUGGAGCGAAGAAAGAAAAAUGAAGUGGGUUGUGGCAGUAAGGAGAGCCACGGUGAGUGGUAGCCUCUGGAUACCAAGCGUCGGAGCCAGAGUAUGCCAAGACCACUUCGUCACAGGCGCACCUAGCAAAGAUCCACACCAUGUUGACUACGUGCCAUCGAUAUUUUGGCACGACGAGAGAGCAACUGAGGCGUCAAGACGGAAGCGUGAAAGAUACCACAGGCACACGGCUUUAACGGAAAAACGCACGGCCGCAGUGCAACAUGCAGCCGGGGCUGGCAUUCAUCCUGUGACAUGUGUGACACAGCAGCCAACGGCCGCAGGAUAUCACGCUAGCGGUACCGCCGAAGAAUCUAGGGACACAGCAGUAGU